rnacentral:pre_miRNA from 1 species
AACUUUAGCGCCUAGACGACAACAGCUAGAAUGGCCGUGGCGAAGGAGGAUUAUCCCCCGAUGAGGCCACCAUUCCAGCUGUUGUCGUCGAGGCAUUAAUGU